rnacentral:rRNA from 1 species
UAGAUGCGAGAGUAGAGCAUAUCAAUAAGCGGAGGAAAAGAAACUAACAAGGAUUCCCUUAGUAACGGCGAGUGAAGCGGGAAGAGCUCAAAUUUGAAAUCUUCAAGGUUCUACCUUGACGAAUUGUAGUUUAUAGAAGUGUUUUCUGUUAGUGGAGUGGCAAAAGUUCUUUGGAAUAGGACAUCAUAGAGGGUGAGAAUCCCGUAUUUGGUCAUUCCUCCUAGCGUUGUGAUACACUUUCAACGAGUCGGAUUGUUUGGGAAUGCAGUCCAAAAUGGGUGGUAAAUUUCAUCUAAAGCUAAAUAUUGGCGAGAGACCGAUAGCGAACAAGUACCGUGAGGGAAAGAUGAAAAGAACUUUGAAAAGAGAGUUAAACAGUACGUGAAAUUGUCAAAAGGGAAGCGUUUGACACCAGUGUUGUUUUUCCGAAAAUCAAUUACGAAUGUUUUGUUUUUGAGGAGUUAUGACUUCAUCGGCUUGCUCCUUUCUUUACGAAACUUUCUUAAUGCACUUUUCGGUUAACAAGUCAACAUCAAUUUCUUUUGUUGUAAAAGGGUAUGAGGAAGGUGGCUUUCUUUUCGGAGAAAGUGUUUAUAGCCUUGUGCCUCUGCAAUCGGAGAGAUUGAGGUCUGCAGCGUAGAUCCUUCGGGGUUAGAUACAGUUUGUGCUAAGUUAUAGCUUUUCAUAGACAACUUGUUGACUAUGUUAAGUCUUGUAGCUUACUCGCUUAUGCUAUUUUACCUACGCUUAGGAUGUUGACACACGCGCGUGCUCG